rnacentral:rRNA from 1 species
GUCUACAGCCAUGCUACCCCGCACAAGCCCGAUCCCAUCUGAUCUCGGAAGCUAAGCAGGGUCGGGCCUAGUUAGUACUUGAAUGGGAGACCACCUAGGAAGACCAGGUACUAUAGGCU